CCUACGGGUGGCAGCAGUGAGGAAUAUUGGUCAAUGGGCGAGAGUCUGAACCAGCCAAGUCGCGUGAAGGAUGACUGCCCUAUGGGUUGUAAACUUCUUUUGUCUGGGAGUAAUAUGUUCCACGUGUGGGAUUAUGUAUGUUACCUAUGAAUAAGGCAUCGCGUAACACUUUCCAGCCGCCGGGGUUAUUAGGGAGGAUCUAGGGUUAUCCGGAUUUAAUGGGUUUAAAGGGGGCGUAAGGGGAAUGAUAAGUCCGUUGGGAAAGUUUGCGGGUUAACCGUAAAAUUGCAGUUGAAACUGGUAUUCCUGAGUACAGUAGAGGUAUGCGGAAUGCGUGGUGUAGCGGUGAAAUGCAUAGAUAUCACGAAGAACUCCGAUUGCGAAGGCAGCUCACUGGACUGCAACUGACACUGAGGCUCGAAAGCGUGGGUAUCAAACAGGAUUAGAUACCCUAGUAGUC
rnacentral:rRNA from 1 species